AUACGUAGGGUGCGAGCGUUGUCCGGAAUUACUGGGCGUAAAGAGCUCGUAGGUGGUUUGUCGCGUCGUCUGUGAAAUUCCGGGGCUUAACUCCGGGCGUGCAGGCGAUACGGGCAUAACUUGAGUACUGUAGGGGAGACUGGAAUUCCUGGUGUAGCGGUGAAAUGCGCAGAUAUCAGGAGGAACACCGGUGGCGAAGGCGGGUCUCUGGGCAGAAACUGACGCUGAGGAGCGAAAGCAUGGGUAGCGAACAGGAUUAGAUACCCUGGUAGUCCAUGCCGUAAACGGUGGGCGCUAGGUGUAGGGGUCUUCCACGACUUCUGUGCCGUAGCUAACGCAUUAAGCGCCCCGCCUGGGGAGUACGGCCGCAAGGCUAAAACUCAAAUGAAUUGACGGGG
rnacentral:rRNA from 1 species